GAUGAACGCUGGCGGCGUGCCUAAUACAUGCAAGUCGAGCGAAUGACGAGGAGCUUGCUCCUCUGAUUUAGCGGCGGACGGGUGAGUAACACGUGGGUAAUCUGCCUGUAAGACGGGGAUAACUCCGGGAAACCGGGGCUAAUACCGGAUAACAAAAGAAGAUGCAUAUCUUCUUUUUGAAAGUCGGUUUCGGCUGACACUUACAGAUGAGCCCGCGGCGCAUUAGCUAGUUGGUGAGGUAACGGCUCACCAAGGCGACGAUGCGUAGCCGACCUGAGAGGGUGAUCGGCCACACUGGGACUGAGACACGGCCCAGACUCCUACGGGAGGCAGCAGUAGGGAAUCUUCGGCAAUGGGCGAAAGCCUGACCGAGCAACGCCGCGUGAGCGAUGAAGGCCUUCGGGUCGUAAGCUCUGUUGUUAGAGAAGAACAAGUACGAGAGUAACUGCUCGUACCUUGACGGUACCUAACCAGAAAGCCACGGCUAACUACGUGCCAGCAGCCGCGGUAACAC
rnacentral:rRNA from 1 species